rnacentral:rRNA from 1 species
AUGAAAGAAAAAAAGUCUUUUACAGUAGCCCUUCUACUAUCAUAUCUUGUUCUAGUUGCCGCAGGAAAAGGUGCAAGAACUAUACAACAAUGGGAAAAUACUAGCCAUAUCCCCACAUAUCAACAAUCUAAUAAAACCAUUAUGAUGGAAGAUGGAGAUAUCUAUGAUUGCAUCGAUGUGAAUCUACAACCGGCUUUUAACCACCCGUUGUUGAAAAACCACACAAUUCAGAUGGAACCAAGUUCUUUUCCGAUUGGACUAAACAUAAAAUCUUCGUUCCCACGUGUCGUUUCACAAGCGCAUUUGUCUAUUGUCAAAUGCCCAAGAGGAAUGGUUCCAAUACUACGUAAUGGUAGAAGGGAUCAAAUAUCAGCACACUUUAUAGAUCAAGCGAUUAGCAAGGAUGCACAACUCGAGGAGGCAGGGCUGAAAUAUUUUGAUGAUUUAUAUGGGGUACAAGCUACAAUAAAUGUUUAUGAGCCAAAGGUGAAGAAGGAUAGCGGGGAUCUUAGUCAAACAGGGAUCCAAAUUGAUAACGGACCAAAGGGUCAUAUGGACAGUAUAAAUGCUUGUUAUUCAGUAUCUCCAAGCUUCUAUGGCGAUACUUUUGUGAGGUUUCAUGUUGGUUGGCGCGAUGGUGUACAAAACAAGUCAUGCAUUGAUCAUGAUUGCCCUGGUUUUGUUCAAGUUAGCCACAAUGUUGGCCUUGGAGGAAGAGUAAAACCUGUUUCAGUUUACAAUGGACCACAAUAUGUGAUACACAUUCUUAUUUUCAAGGACCCAAAGACACAUAAUUGGUGGUUGGCGUAUGGUAAAGACAAAACACCAGUUGGAUAUUGGCCAAGUUCAUUAUUCACUCGCCUUAAGGAUAAAGGGAACUUUUCAUACACUGGUGGGCAUGUUUCAGGACCGACGGCUUCAUCAGACUCUCCACAAAUUGGCAGUGGGCAUUUUGCCUCCGAAGGCUAUGGAAAAGCGGCUUUUAUAAAAGACAUCCAAAUUAUUGAUAACGACAACAAGCUUGUAACACCAAAUGAAGAGAAAGCGAUUAGAGGCAGUAGUGAUGUAAGGAAAUAUACCAUCGGCAAUUAUGGAGUUGACGACCAUGGUGUGCAUAUGUACUAUGGUGGGCCGGGUAAUUUUGUCUAA